UUAUAAUUUCAGAGGUGCAAUGUAGUAGUUAGUGGUCCAAUCCACAGAAACUCAGAUCACUCAAUAGAUUUCAGUUAUAGAAUUGUGGAAAUUUCAUGUUUUACCACUUUCAAGGUACCACUUUUCAUCUUUACCACCACUAAAGGGACAUUUUCAAAAAUACAUUAUUCAUUAAGUGGCAAAAGACUCUUAUUCCCUUGUUCUAUAUAUAUAUAAUAAAUUAUUAUUUAAAUAAAUAAAAAAAUUAUGUUUUUGAAUUAUACUUUUUCAAAUUCGAACUUUUUUUAUUAAAAACAAAAAAAAUUGAAUUUUUUUUUGAAAUUUGUUUUAUACCUUUUUCAAAAUUUCUUUUUGAAAAUCGAAAAUUAUGUUUGAAACUAUUUUUUUAAUUUUUUUAUAUUUUUAAGUAUUUAUUUAUAUAUUUAUUAGAAUCCUAAAUUUCACAUUCUAAAAACUCUAC
rnacentral:lncRNA from 1 species